rnacentral:lncRNA from 1 species
CUAUCAUCCGAGUUUUAUCAUCUCAUGCACAAAUGAUGUUAUUUGAAUCCAACCACUCUUUAGCAGCUCUAACUUUGUUGCAUGUCGCUUUCAAUUCUGUACCAUUAAAGUUCUUAAUAAAGGAUGCUAUUUGCCACCGUAACUCUUCUGCUUGUAUCGGAUGACAAUCAGAUAAGGCUGGCUCUAGUUGUAUUGCCAUACUCUGCCAUGACGGAAUAUUCUGGAUUAAAGUAUUUGGGCCUAAAGUUGAAACCUCAUGCACAUAAGAAGGUACUGAUAUUCCAUCUAAAGCUACAUAAGUUGUUACCAUUUGUGUACUUCUUUGCUUUGACUUAAUCUGUUUCCAUAUUAGCCACCGUAUUUUCUUAACAAAUCGCCGGUUAAUCUUAUGUCGGAUGUAGGUAUAAUAAUCUGAAAAAGACGGAAGAAUGUCAAUAAACUGCUCAGCUUGAUUUAAAUCUAUUCCUUUUAGUCUCAAGAACCACUUAAAACGGAAAACAUCUCUUCUCACAUUCGUUAUGGCUAUAGAGAGGCAUCGUUUCUUAGUUAAUAAUAACAACUUUCUUGAUCGUACCAGUAAUCUGAUGUUAUAUAUAGAUGUCGGAAAAACACCAUUCAGUCUAC